rnacentral:rRNA from 1 species
UACGAAGGGGGCUAGCGUUGCUCGGAAUCACUGGGCGUAACGGGUGCGUAGGCGGGUCUUUAAGUCAGGGGUGAAAUCCCGGAGCUCAACUCCAGAACUGCCUUUGAUACUGAAGAUCUUGAGUUCGGGAGAGGUGAGUGGAACUGCGAGUGUAGAGGUGAAAUUCGUAGAUAUUCGCAAGAACACCAGUGGCGAAGGCGGCUCACUGGCCCGAUACUGACGCUGAGGCACGAAAGCGUGGGGAGCAAACAGG